rnacentral:lncRNA from 1 species
CUAGACUCUCUGUUCUGUUCAGGCUGUUGAACAGGGAGGACGUGCUUGUACUCAUACCAUUUAUAUAGUGGAUUUUUUGAGUGGACUACGGUCCCGUGGUUUUUCCUUCUCACAUCGAGGAGGUUUUCCACGUAAAAAUUGUGUGUUUCAUUUACGUUUUUCUGCAUAUUACAUCCCGCCAUCGUCGAAAUAUUUUCUUCACAGGUUCAGACAAAGUCAGGGGAACACGACCAUUAGUAUUUCCGCUGCGCCGUGUGACUUUCCCCAACAUUCUAAGCAUCUGAUUCAGUGUGAAAGUUGAAACAUUAAUAAAACACGUAAUAAGAAGGUGUCGUCAAUUUGUUCGAGAAAACUUGUUUACGUGUUGUAGUCAGAUUGGCAGCUGGAAAAACACUUCCUAUAAUAUCUUUACAAUAAGUUCAGCUUACAUGUCUUCGAGUUAUUUAUUAUUUCCGUCGUCAUAUAUAUUACACACAUUUUCUUUUUACUACAGUGAUUAUCGAUUAUAUGCUUUUUUUUUUUUUUUUUUUUUUUUUUUUGAUCAAAUCGAUUAUAUUCUUUAAUCUUUGAAUCGUGACUACGAAGUUUCUUCAAAAUCAUGAUAUUCGCUCGGAUGAUAUACAAUAUACUAAGCAAAAGUGCAUUUUCUGAUAAAAGAACAAGACUAAUUUUUAUGCAUAUUUUAUUCUAUAAAAUGGUUUCACAUCAAAUUAUUAACAACCUAUAACUUUCUAAAAUGAUGAGUACUAGUGCUUAAUCUUACUUUACAGUAUACAUGUCCUUUUACAAUCUCAAUACGUUAUCAGAUAGUUUUUUCUUUGAUAACUUACAGUUUUUCUUAGAAUAAUA